rnacentral:sRNA from 1 species
CCUCCCCCCUUUCCCAAGGACAAUCUGCAAGAAAGCAGCGGCGGAGGAGAGCUAAGACUAAAAGAGUGGAUCAUGACCCAUGAAGAGCACCAUGCAGCCAAAACCCUGGGGAUUGGCAAAGCCAUUGCUGUCUUAACCUCUGGUGGAGAUGCCCAAGGUAUGAAUGCUGCUGUCAGGGCUGUGGUUCGAGUUGGUAUCUUCACCGGUGCCCGUGUCUUCUUUGUCCAUGAGGGUUAUCAAGGCCUGGUGGAUGGUGGAGAUCACAUCAAGGAAGCCACCUGGGAGAGCGUUUCGAUGAUGCUUCAGCUGGGAGGCACGGUGAUUGGAAGUGCCCGGUGCAAGGACUUUCGGGAACGAGAAGGACGACUCCGAGCUGCCUACAACCUGGUGAAGCGUGGGAUCACCAAUCUCUGUGUCAUUGGGGGUGAUGGCAGCCUCACUGGGGCUGACACCUUCCGUUCUGAGUGGAGUGACUUGUUGAGUGACCUCCAGAAAGCAGGUAAGAUCACAGAUGAGGAGGCUACGAAGUCCAGCUACCUGAACAUUGUGGGCCUGGUUGGGUCAAUUGACAAUGACUUCUGUGGCACCGAUAUGACCAUUGGCACUGACUCUGCCCUGCACCGGAUCAUGGAAAUUGUAGAUGCCAUCACUACCACUGCCCAGAGCCACCAGAGGACAUUUGUGUUAGAAGUAAUGGGCCGCCACUGUGGAUACCUGGCCCUUGUCACCUCUCUGUCCUGUGGGGCCGACUGGGUUUUUAUUCCUGAAUGUCCACCAGAUGACGACUGGGAGGAACACCUUUGUCGCCGACUCAGCGAGACAAGGACCCGUGGUUCUCGUCUCAACAUCAUCAUUGUGGCUGAGGGUGCAAUUGACAAGAAUGGAAAACCAAUCACCUCAGAAGACAUCAAGAAUGUUCGUAUGAAUGAAGCCAGAGAGGCCUUAGACUCCAUAGCCCGUUCCCUUCUGGCUUCUGAGUCUCUUGACACUGCUUCUCCCCUUGGUCCUUCUGCACAUCUCUCCCUGGGUCCCUGCCCCUGAUUGCCUCCCACAAAGAACCAUUACAAGACAAGAGGCUGAGCUGUCCAUGGUUUACCCAAGUCUCUGCUUGUUUUCUUCCUUUGACUCUGCGUAACCCUCUCUCUGUCCCUCUGUUGGUCCCUUCAGCUGGUGGUUAAGCGUCUGGGAUAUGACACCCGGGUUACUGUCUUGGGGCAUGUGCAGAGGGGUGGGACGCCAUCAGCCUUUGACAGAAUUCUGGGCAGCAGGAUGGGUGUGGAAGCAGUGAUGGCACUUUUGGAGGGGACCCCAGAUACCCCAGCCUGUGUAGUGAGCCUCUCUGGUAACCAGGCUGUGCGCCUGCCCCUCAUGGAAUGUGUCCAGGUGACCAAAGAUGUGACCAAGGCCAUGGAUGAGAAGAAAUUUGACGAAGCCCUGAAGCUGAGAGGCCGGAGCUUCAUGAACAACUGGGAGGUGUACAAGCUUCUAGCUCAUGUCAGACCCCCGGUAUCUAAGAGUGGUUCGCACACAGUGGCUGUGAUGAACGUGGGGGCUCCGGCUGCAGGCAUGAAUGCUGCUGUUCGCUCCACUGUGAGGAUUGGCCUUAUCCAGGGCAACCGAGUGCUCGUUGUCCAUGAUGGUUUCGAGGGCCUGGCCAAGGGGCAGAUAGAGGAAGCUGGCUGGAGCUAUGUUGGGGGCUGGACUGGCCAAGGUGGCUCUAAACUUGGGACUAAAAGGACUCUACCCAAGAAGAGCUUUGAACAGAUCAGUGCCAAUAUAACUAAGUUUAACAUUCAGGGCCUUGUCAUCAUUGGGGGCUUUGAGGCUUACACAGGGGGCCUGGAACUGAUGGAGGGCAGGAAGCAGUUUGAUGAGCUCUGCAUCCCAUUUGUGGUCAUUCCUGCUACAGUCUCCAACAAUGUCCCUGGCUCAGACUUCAGCGUUGGGGCUGACACAGCACUCAAUACUAUCUGCACAACCUGUGACCGCAUCAAGCAGUCAGCAGCUGGCACCAAGCGUCGGGUGUUUAUCAUUGAGACUAUGGGUGGCUACUGUGGCUACCUGGCUACCAUGGCUGGACUGGCAGCUGGGGCCGAUGCUGCCUACAUUUUUGAGGAGCCCUUCACCAUUCGAGACCUGCAGGCAAAUGUUGAACAUCUGGUGCAAAAGAUGAAAACAACUGUGAAAAGGGGCUUGGUGUUAAGGAAUGAAAAGUGCAAUGAGAACUAUACCACUGACUUCAUUUUCAACCUGUACUCUGAGGAGGGGAAGGGCAUCUUCGACAGCAGGAAGAAUGUGCUUGGUCACAUGCAGCAGGGUGGGAGCCCAACCCCAUUUGAUAGGAAUUUUGCCACUAAGAUGGGCGCCAAGGCUAUGAACUGGAUGUCUGGGAAAAUCAAAGAGAGUUACCGUAAUGGUAGGUGGGGUGAGAGCGAGUGCCCUCUAUAGAGGCUGGUUCCCCAGUAUAGAAGCUGACUGCCCAUCCCUCAUUGCAGGGCGGAUCUUUGCCAAUACUCCAGAUUCGGGCUGUGUUCUGGGGAUGCGUAAGAGGGCUCUGGUCUUCCAACCAGUGGCUGAGCUGAAGGACCAGACAGAUUUUGAGCAUCGAAUCCCCAAGGAACAGUGGUGGCUGAAACUGAGGCCCAUCCUCAAAAUCCUAGCCAAGUACGAGAUUGACUUGGACACUUCAGACCAUGCCCACCUGGAGCACAUCACCCGGAAGCGGUCCGGGGAAGCUGCUGUCUAAACCUCUCUGGAGUGAGGGGAAUAGAUUACCUGAUCAUGGUCAGCUCACACCCUGAUAAGUCCACAUCUUCUCAGUGUUUUAGCUGUUUUUUUCAUUAGGUUUCCUUUUAUUCUGUACCUUGCAGCCAUGAUCAGUUCUGGCCAGGAGCUGGAGGAGCAGGCAGUGGUUGGGAGCUCCUUUUAGGUAGAAUUUAACAUGACUUCUGCCCCAGCUUUAUCUGUCACACAAGGCUGGGCACCUCUAGUGCUACUGCUAGAUAUCACUUACUCAGUUAGAAUUUUCCUAAAAAUAAGCUUUAUUUAUUUCUUUGUGAUAACAAAGAGUCUUGGUUCCUCUACUACUUUUACUACAGUGACAAAUUGUAACUACACUAAUAAAUGCCAACUGGUCACUGUG